UUUGUCAUAGCUCAAUUGGUAGAGCAUGAGACACUUAAUCUCAGGGCCCUGAGUUCGAGUCCCACGCUGGGCAAAC